GACGAACGCUGGCGGCGUGCUUAACACAUGCAAGUCGAACGGAAAGGCCUUUUCGGCGGUACUCGAGUGGCGAACGGGUGAGUAACACGUGGGUGAUCUGCCCUGCACUCUGGGAUAAGCCUGGGAAACUGGGUCUAAUACCGGAUAGGACCGCACUUUAGUGUGUGUGGUGGAAAGUUUUUUCGGUGUAGGAUGAGCCCGCGGCCUAUCAGCUUGUUGGUGGGGUAAUGGCCUACCAAGGCGGCGACGGGUAGCCGGACUGAGAGGUUGGUCGGCCACAUUGGGACUGAGAUACGGCCCAGACGCCUACGGGAGGCAGCAGGGGGGAAUAUUGCACAAUGGGCGCAAGCCUGAUGCAGCGACGCCGCGUGGGGGAUGACGGCCUUCGGGUUGUAAACUCCUUUCGCCAGGGACGAAGCGUUUUGUGACGGUACCUGGAGAAGAAGCACCGGCUAACUACGUG
rnacentral:rRNA from 1 species